AUUGAACGCUGGCGGCAGGCCUAACACAUGCAAGUCGAGCGGAUGAAGGGAGCUUGCUCCUGGAUUCAGCGGCGGACGGGUGAGUAAUGCCUAGGAAUCUGCCUGGUAGUGGGGGAUAACGUCCGGAAACGGGCGCUAAUAUCGCAUACGUCCUGAGGGAGAAAGCGGGGGAUCUUCGGACCUCACGCUAUCAGAUGAGCCUAGGUCGGAUUAGCUAGUUGGUGGGGUAAAGGCCUACCAAGGCGACGAUCCGUAACUGGUCUGAGAGGAUGAUCAGUCACACUGGAACUGAGACACGGUCCAGACUCCUACGGGAGGCAGCAGUGGGGAAUAUUGGACAAUGGGCGAAAGCCUGAUCCAGCCAUGCCGCGUGUGUGAAGAAGGUCUUCGGAUUGUAAAGCACUUUAAGUUGGGAGGAAGGGCAGUAAGUUAAUACCUUGCUGUUUUGACGUUACCAACAGAAUAAGCACCGGCUAACUUCGUG
rnacentral:rRNA from 1 species